rnacentral:rRNA from 1 species
UUGUUCAGAAAAAAACGUAUGAAGCUUUACUGUAUCUCCGAAUUGAAUUUGGGUUUUAUUUGCGCAGCAUAGGUGGGAGGCUAUGACGAUUGACUCGCGGGUUGUUUUGAGCCAAAAGUGAGAUACCACUCUGGUAAAACUAGAGUUCUAACCUUGUAAGCCGUUAUCCGGCCAAGGAACAGUUUCAGGUGGGCAGUUUGACUGGGGCGGUCGCCUCCUAAAAAGUAACGGAGGCGUGCAAAGGUUCCCUCAGGCUGGUCGGAAAUCAGUCGUAGAGUGUAAAGGCAUAAGGGAGCUUGACUGCAAGACCUACAAGUCGAGCAGAGACGAAAGUCGGCCUUAGGUCAGACAUCAGG